CCUCGGCCCGCCCCCUCCUCUCACUUCGGCCCCGGGCCUCUGUGAGAGGAGAACUUACCUAGGUGCACGUCACAGAGGUGUCAGAGGGUAACAAGAUUUCAUGGACCUGGAGGUAAAGGACUUUUGAGAAAGGACCUCUUCAUGGGCCUACGGAAGCCUCAGUGGUGAAGUGGUCCUAUUUUUCCCACUUACUACAUUGUCCUCUCUGCUGCCAUCCUGGAAUCAUCCAUGUGGGUAACUGCUUCGGAGAUAGAGGCCCACUCACCUUGUGUGGACAGCUCUCAGUUCUGCCCAGUAGGAGGUGCUGCAGCGACAGAAGGCCAUUUCUUCUGCUGAAUUUUGAGCUUGGGCUUACCACUUGUGUUCGGAGUCUGGGCCCGAGGAGUGACAGGUUAACAUUCAGCUCAGAGUUCCAGGAGUGCCUUCAGGGGACCAGAGAGCUGAAGGAAAGCUGGCUUUUCUGAAAGUUGCUGCAGUGAGAAGACAUUUAUCAUAUUGAACAAAGACUGAAGAAACUGUAGAAUUAGCAGAAACAUUAGA
rnacentral:lncRNA from 1 species